GAUGAACGCUGGCGGCGUGCCUAAUACAUGCAAGUCGAGCGAACGGACGAGAAGCUUGCUUCUCUGAUGUUAGCGGCGGACGGGUGAGUAACACGUGGAUAACCUACCUAUAAGACUGGGAUAACUUCGGGAAACCGGAGCUAAUACCGUAUGAUAUCUUGAACCGCAUGGUUCAAAAGUGAAAGACGGUCUUGCUGUCAGGUAUAGAUGGAUCCGGGCUGGAUGAGCUAGUUGGUAAGGUAACGGCUUACCAAGGCAACGAUGCAUAGCCGACCUGAGAGGGUGGUCGCCCACACGGGAGCUGGGACACGCUCCUGACUCCUACGGGAGGCCGCAGUAGGGAAUCUUCCGCAAUGGGCGAAAGCCUGACGGAGCAACGCCGCGUGAGUGAUGAAGGUCUUCGGAUCGUAAAACUCUGUUAUGAGUGAAGAACAUAUGUGUAAGUAACUGUGCACAUCUUGACGGUACCUAAUCAGAAAGCCCCGGCUAACUACGUG
rnacentral:rRNA from 1 species